AUGGAUGGAAUCAAAUACGCGGUAUUUACAAAAAAAAGUCUUCGUUUAUUGGGAAAGAAUCAAUAUACUUUUAAUGUCGAAUCGGGAUUCACUAAGACAGAAAUAAAGCCACAUGUUUCAGCAGCCUUUAUGCACAGCUAG
rnacentral:rRNA from 1 species